UGGUGGGAUAUAAUUGGCUAAAUAAUUAUGUUACAAUAUGUUAGGAUUGGUUAGUUAAAUUUUAGUAAAAUAAUUGGUUACGGUCUAGCUAAGCAAAAUGAAAGUUUUACUGCAACUAUAUAGUAAA